AAUUUUGAGGUGUGGUUUUCUUGAGGUGGCAUAGAGGUAUAUAAAGAUUUGUUUUAAUAGCAUUUUAGUUGGGCAAUUAUAGAAGUUGAGCAAUUCUGUGUUCUGGAUAAAAGGAAAAGCCAGCAUUGCCUUGUGAAGCCAGGGUGCUGGGCUACCAGAGGGUUAACUGCCAGCUGGAGAAACACCAGCUCAGAGUCCCUGGGAGACCAGCCCCACCUGCAUCCCCUUGAGUCUAUGCUGAUUAUUCUCUGCAUCUUCCUUCUCUGCUCUGUGCCCUGGGAGCCUGGCUUUGAGGAAUGCAUCUUUUUGGCCCUGUCCACAAUCUGCCUUCUGGGAGCAUUUGGCCAGUGGGAGGUACCAGCAAGAGCCUGGAGGGCAAGAGAGGAGAGAGAAAUUGGGGUACUCCUUCUCGAAUUGCUCUUUGCUUUGUUGAGAUGUCUCUAAAAAUUGCUGUUUCCUCUUCGAAGACAGUUCCACCAGACUGCCCCGCCUCCAAGUUUCUGAGUGCAAAAUGAACUCAGGUGGAGGUGGGGAAUGUGAUGGACAUGCAGGUUCAAUGACCUGCUUAGGGGCCCCGGAAUGUCAAGGCCAAGGGGUCCCCAUUCUAAAACAGAUAAAACAGCCACCACAGUCAACUCUGUAGCUGCUGAAUGACGUAAGCGGAGGAGCCCUGGUUCUAGAGUCACAGGCAAGUGGAGAGUAAGGUGUGUGUGCACCAUGCGCAGCGACCACUAGUGUUAUCCUCACUAAAGAAAACCAUGCAGUAUAAGAGGAGGCUGCAGGCACUUUCUGCUGAGUACUUUGCUAAAUACAGACACAAUUGCAAGCCCUUCUGCUUCUAGGGUUUCCUUUCUACUUGGAUCAUAUUUGUUUCCUUACCUCUCAGAGAAACCUCUUGCAGUGUGUGAAGUUACAAUACAGCAUCACCUCCCUAAUUGGUCCUGCUGGUUGGAAAGAGCCUCUUGAAUUCCCCAAAGGGCCUGAAGAGCAGAAUAAAUUGCUUUAUCGCCUACAUAGUCACUCAUCUAAUGCUAUGAAAUGUUGCCAAAAGAGGGCCUGUAGGGACUUGGAAUUAUCAUUUUAUAAAAAAAAAAAAAGCAUUAGUGGAUGUUUAUAUGUAGGAGAUAAGAAGAAAAAUAUAGUACAAGGCCAAAUUCUAUUUAGAUAAGAAUAAUUUGAGUAUGCUGAUUGCAGGGGAGAAUAAAUCCUGCUAAAUGCUUGUAUGCUGUCUGCCUAUGUGAAAUCUGAAAAUUCCUUCUGCUCCAAUGUUUAAGAUACUUCUAUUAUCUUUCUUAAGCCCUUUGGGAUCUUCAGGGUCUGUACACUCUGCUUGUUUUCUUAAUACAGAACCCAAGAUCUUUGCUAUUUUCCUUUCCAUCAACGAUCCACUCCUUGUUUUGGUUCUAUUCCUCCCCACAGGGUUUGUGGAGUGGUUCUUGGUUUCACCUCUUCCUUGACUUCUCCAAAGAUGAACAUGCAACCCUGCAUCAUUUAUCAGUUUUGAAACUGAUGAUAAUAGAAAUAGCAAAUGUGGGAAAAUUAUAAAUGUUCUGACAUAUGAAGUAUUUGAAUCAUAACUCCAAAUAGCUCUCAUAAAUUCUUUAAUAAUGUCCUCUUUUCUCCUUCAAGUAGUUCCGUGGGACCCCAGGGAGGGGUUUGUGAGUGCUCCCAGGUCUCUCCUGCUCAGCGACAGAAGACUGCAGUUCCUCUACUCUAGGGCCUAACACACAGGUGUUUUAGCACAGCAGUGACCCAUGGGUGCCAAAGGUGUUAGAGUGGAGCAGAACGCUCCCUUGCUUGUGUUACUCUGUUUUAAAUGUGAGACAUGGGCCCUAGCGAGCUGAAGAAUUUAUCGGAACAUCUAUUUUAGAAUUUGAUUAUGGUGUUGUAUCUCCCAGCGAACUAAGCACUUGGCCCAGGGGUUGAGCUGGGCAUGGAGCAGCCACCACCCUGCUGCAGGGAGACUCCUCCCACCACCCUCUUUGAAUACCGAAGCUUUGUUGUUCUAACCUAUUCCUGGCUCUUUCCUCUCUGAGCUGCUUCCCAGAGGAACCUUAGCCCACUGCAGAGUGGCAUUUUGCAUGGUACUCUAGCAGAUUGAGCAUCUUCUAGCAGAGGGUACCAUGUAGACUUGUUCCCAGGAGGCUGCUUGACCUCCAACCCCAUAAACUUGCAUCAGGCUCAAGCCAUCAGCCCAGGCGCUGAGAAGAACGAGCUCUGGCAGUAGAUGACAGAAAGUCCGGCUAAUGCAGAACUCCCCUGCACAGCCCUGGUCUCUGGAUCCUGGUUUUAAAAUAUUAAUUGGAAGACCUACCUUUUUGGUUCUCUGCCCUUUACUUUAUUUCUGAGCAUAAGACUCGACAAACUCCCCCAAGAACAAAGGUAAGAAUUUCCAAGUUCUGAGUUGCAACUUUCCAUGAAGGCCUAGAGAGGGACCCUGGGAUGGUUGACCCCAUCACAGGCCUGACCCACUUCAGGCGUUACCUGAUAAACUUCACAAGCAUACUCUUCCACCCAUUUCUGGUUAUCAGCCCACAAAUUCAGAAUUCAGUGGGAUCUGAGUAGAUGAGAGUUUCCUGAUUCCAACUUUCACAUUAAGAAGAUAUGUGGCAAAUUCUGUGUGAUUAUUAUUUAGAAUAGAGCAUAUUUCAAUUCUGUGAAUGUAAAGAAAGAUACAAUUUUGGCUAUUACUAUUUUUAAAAAAUAUUAGAGAAAAUUUCUCCUAUACACAAAAAAAUUUAGAUGUCAUGAAUGUGUUAGACAAAGAUAAGAGCCAAACUUGAGAUAAGUAAAACCUUUACUCUUGACAGCUGUUAAGUGUGCAUUUGAUUUAGAACCUACCAUCAUCAGUCGAAACUCACUGCGGUAACUUUCAGUUUUCCAGAGUCUUCUAUUUGUUAUUACAUUUUUUUUCUAGCUUCGCUUCUUCGAAACUCACCCACCGUUUUUCAUAACUCCACCCCAAUUUGAUCUCAUCUUUCCCUGUGUCCUUGAAGGGUUCAGAAAUCCAGUGACACCGUUUACACUUGUGGCAUGAAGCAUUGCUCACAGCAGGUUCUAUGAAGUUGACUGUAAACUUAAAGCAAUCUUUACAUCCUGCCUGAAGUGAGUUGAUUUACGAGUGAGUGUUUGCUGAGUGCUCAGAGAUCCUCCUCUGCAAUGCAAGAUCCAAGUGCGCUGUGUUAUUGCUUUACUUUAUUUGUCUUUUGUAAAACACCUGGUACCAUGACAAUCUUCACUAAAUAAAUAAUAAAUGAAAUGAAACACACUUCCUUCUCUAUUUUAAUAAUGUACUAUUCAUGCAUUUUUUUCCCCUAAAACAAAGAAUCAUUGUAGGAAGUUGCUCUGCCAAUAUUAGGCUGAUAUCUUAUUGCAGGCAAAGAUAAAAUAGCAUGCCACAGGAAAACUGAUAGUCUCUUUUCAAAACAAAGGAGAACAAGGCAAUAACAAAAUGUGAAAAGCCAAGAAAUGGCUUAAUGGAAUUAAUACAAAUAUGAAUGUAUGCUCCUUGAUAUCCUAAUACAUCCCCUGGUUAUAAAAUAAUAUCAAGAUGUUUAGAGGAAAAUUCAAAUUACAGUUUCCCAGUCACUCUAUGCUGUUUUUGCAAAUCUAUUGUUUUUCUCUCGUAUGAACCCAUCGCAGGGAAAGGCUGACAGAGAUGUUUAACAGAGAGCAGAACUGCUGCCAGCCAUUUCCAGUGGGAAUUGAGCUACCAAAUAUUUUCCUCAAAUUAUAGAAAAUUGCCGUUUGUAGAGUCCACAUUAUAUUUAGCUUCUUAAUUUAGGAUUAAACAUCUGUAACUUAUUGUUAGGACAUCCGGAGAGUUUGCAAAACUCUAUAAUAUGAAUAUUGUCUCUCUCUUUAGUCCUGUAGUGUCUCUAAAGAAAAUUGUUUUGGUCCCAUUUUUAAAGAUUUGCUGAUGGUCAAAAGAACCACUAUAUAAUUUUAUGGUGAAAAAAGUGAGGUCUUCUGCAACGCGGUGUUGACAUAUUUUCACCCAAAUCUGCCACCAGUUGACCAAGGAUCCUGACAGUGGUUACCCUUCCGGCUUCCUCUCAUACCCCAAUGGGAUACAGUGGAGCAGAGAAAGGACAACUUCCUCUCUCACUCCUCUGCCUGUGGGUGAGGACCAUAGCACUGUGCUAACACCAGCCUUGGAAGGUUUUAGAAAUGGCCAUGACUCCAUUGGUGGGGCUUCCCCAGUAAUGUUUGGGUGGCAUAUAGGAUGAUUUAUUUUCCAAACAUUGAAUGUAUAUAUAGUGAUUUUUUGAUGCUAAUAAAGCUGAGGGGCUUAGGAUUUCUGAAGGACCAAGGAAAUGUAGGUGAACUUGAAUAUUUUAUUUACAAAUAUUCUCAGGUGAGUUCAGUUUUGUUUCUUAAAAAUAAGGUCAAAGAAGGCUUUCAAGAAAGAGCUGCAUUGAAGUUGAGAUUUCAGAAGGACAAUGAUGAUAUUGGAAUAAAAUUCAAGGGUAGGUAUUCUGGCCAGGAGAGUAGUGUGGGCAAAGCAAGUGGGAAAGUUCAGGGGCCUUUAAAUAUUGCUCCGAGUUCCCUGGGGGCACUAGAAGUACAAAUGAGGCUAGAAAUGUUCUGCAAAAUUCUACUCCCAAAUUUUUGGCAUUGUUCUUCUUCCCCUGGAAAGUCUUCUCUGACUUGCUAUGAUGUUGGGUUGAGUGUCCUUUCUCAAUGCUUCUGGAACCUUCUACCUUUGUUCUAAUGUAGUUGUUAGUGCCAUUUAUGCAUUUGUCUGUUCUUAUUUGAUAUCCUCUUUCUGUUUUAAGCUUCUUACAGAAUUCUUCUUAAUGUCCUGGGCAAUGCCUGGUGGGUGCUUAACAAAUAAUUUGUGAAUGGAAUGAAUAAUGUAAGCUUUUCCUUAAAUAAUACUUUUUUUUGAAAAUUAAAAAAAAAUUGUUUCAAAGGUCUUUAGACCAGUAAUUGUCUUAAGGGCAUAAAGUGACUAAUAAUAAAUAUAGAUAUAUUUUGUAAUUAAACUGCAAAAACUGAAGCAUAUGCUUGACUAUUACAAAGAAACACAAUACAACACCAGAUAAGUACCUUCUGGAUCAAUCCAAAGAAUGUUUUUAAUUAAAUUGCUAAAAGGAUCUCUUUAUAAUGGAAUUUCAUCUAUAAGAUGACUUUCCAGCAUACAGGACCAUUUGAGUAGUAGUAUAAGUAUGAGCAGAGCCUUAUGGUCUGCUGGGGAAAGGCUCUUUUGGAGAGAACCCUGGUCCUGGAAUGAGAAAACAUGGUACCGAGCACUAACAAUUGGUACUUGAACCUGAAAAAGAUAC